CAAACGUAAUGUAUAGGUAUCCAGUGUAACGAUAUUAGAACAGGCGUAAUUGAGUCAAAUUUUCUUUUUCGUGUAAUCAAGCGUGCUGCUGUGUUUUGGAACCGCUGUAACUUACUGAUAAUGUUGGUGUUAGUACCGUACACCAAUGCAUUGCCGUAGUCCAGCCUUGAUGUAACUAGGGAGCACAAUAGUACAUUAUUGUUUCAAAAAAUAGGACUGAAGAUUUAAAUUGUAUCAAAAUAUAUCACUUCUGGUAAAAUGACGUUUGAAAAAAGUAAUGGACAUCAAUAUAAAUUCGGAUAAAAUCUGCAGUCGAAAUCUUGUUCUCAACUACAAUGAAAUGUCUCGGUGAGGCAAAUUU
rnacentral:lncRNA from 1 species